UUGCUCUUCAACGAGGAAUACCUAGUAAGCGUGAGUCAUCAGCUCGCGUUGAUUACGUCCCUGCCCUUUGUACACACCGCCCGUCGCUACUACCGAUUGAAUGGCUUAGUGAGGUCUUGGGAUUGGCUUCGGGGAGCCGGAAACGGCACCCUGUUGCUGAGAACUUGAUCAAACUUGGUCAUUUAGAGGAAGUAAAAGUCGUAACAAGGUUUCCGUAGGUGAACCUGCGGAAGGAUCAUUAUCGAAUCAACAGAGGGCUGUUGCUGGGUGUCAAAGACAUCAAGUGCACGCCUUCGUUCGUUCUCAAACCCCUGUGCACCUAUUGUAGGCUUGGUCUAGGGCUGACUUCGGUCAGUUUGAAGCCAGCCUAUGUUUUACACACGCUUCAGUUUAGAAUGUCAUUUGCGGAUAACGCAUCUUAUACAACUUUCAGCAACGGAUCUCUUGGCUCUCGCAUCGAUGAAGAACGCAGCGAAAUGCGAUAAGUAAUGUGAAUUGCAGAAUUCAGUGAAUCAUCGAAUCUUUGAACGCACCUUGCGCUCCUUGGUAUUCCGAGGAGCAUGCCUGUUUGAGUGUCAUGGAAUUCUCAACCUCUACUGCUUUUGUGGCAGAGGCUUGGACUUGGAGGUUGUGUUGGCUUGCAAAGGUCGACUCCUCUGAAAUGCAUUAGUGCGAGCCUUACGGAUCGCUUCGGUGUGAUAAUUGUCUACGCCGUGGUGUGAAGUAUGCUCGUGUUCGCGCUUCUAACCGUCCGCGAGGACACUUUGCAAUCUGACCUCAAAUCAGGUAGGACUACCCGCUGAACUUAAGCAUAUCAAUAAGCGGAGGA
rnacentral:rRNA from 1 species